AUCUCCAACUGCAUGCAAGAGCAACCUGGAGAGACUUUGACAGUUCAGGUCAGCAUAAUACCUGCAGCUGCCACUC
rnacentral:snoRNA from 1 species